rnacentral:rRNA from 1 species
GAUGAACGCUAGCGGCAGGCCUAACACAUGCAAGUCGAGGGGUACUAGAGUGACAGCAAUAUUACUUUGGCUAGACCGGCGCACGGGUGCGUAACACGUAUGCAACCUACCUUAUACUGGGGAAUAACUUCGAGAAAUCGGCGCUAAUACCCCAUAACACUGCGGAGAGGCAUCUCUUUGCAGUUAAAGCUCCGGCGGUAUAAGAUGGGCAUGCGUCCAAUUAGCUAGUUGGUGAGGUAACGGCUCACCAAGGCUACGAUUGGUAGGGGUUCUGGGAGGAUGCUCCCCCACACUAGUACUGAGACACGGACCAGACUCCUACGGGAGGCAGCAGUGAGGAAUAUUGCGCAAUGGACGAAAGUCUGACGCAGCCAUGCCGCGUGCAGGAUGACGGCCCUAUGGGUUGUAAACUGCUUUUGUACGGGAAUAAACCCUUCUACGUGUAGGAGGCUGAAGGUACCGUAAGAAUAAGCACCGGCUAACUCCGUGCCAGCAGCCGCAGUAA